AAAUACCGACAAUGUCCUUAUUAAGUAAAAACAAUUGAAAUACGAAAAAAAUGAUUAAAAUAAAAUAUAAAAAAUACAUAAAACACGAAAAUUAAUCUAAUAACGUCAAUUAAGAAUUUUGAGAAUUUUUGCGGAAUUUUCGGAAACUACAAAAACAUAAAAUAAAUCAUAAAAAAUAGAAAAAUAGGGAAUUUGCUAAUAAAUCGAC
rnacentral:lncRNA from 1 species